rnacentral:rRNA from 1 species
UGGGGAAUCUUGCGCAAUGGCCGAAAGGCUGACGCAGCGACGCCGCGUGUGGGAGGACGCUCUUCGGGGUGUAAACCACUGUUGCCCGGGACGAACACACUCUUUCGAGGGUGCUGACGGUACCGGGUGAGGAAGCGCCGGCUAACUCUGUGCCAGCAGCCGCGGUAAUACAGAGGGCGCGAGCGUUGUCCGGAAUCACUGGGCGUAAAGGGCGCGUAGGUGGCUGGCAAGGCGUGCGGUGAAAGCCCGGGGCUCAACCCCGGGUCGGCCGUGCGAACUGGUCAGCUCGAGCGUGGUAGAGGCGGGUGGAAUUCCGGGUGUAGCGGUGGAAUGCGUAGAGAUCCGGAAGAACACCGGUGGCGAAGGCGGCCCGCUGGGCCACGGCUGACACUGAGGCGCGACAGCGUGGGGAGCAAACAGGAUUAGAUACCCUGGUAGUCCACGCCGUAAACGAUGGGCACUAGGUGCUUGGGGGAGCGACCCCCUGGGUGCCGGCGCUAACGCAUGAAGUGCCCCGCCU